AGAAUCUACACAGCAAUCCUAGGAAUAUCAUUCUCUCCAGACUCACUUCUUUGCAUGGCUCUCCUCUUUUCUACAGUCUGUAUUCACAUCCAAAUAGCUACAAUUAUCUAGAGAAUCCAAGAGAACUUUGAAUUUCCUAGGAAAUUGAAGAAAGACGUAUAAAGCUAACAGUUUUGAACAUGUUCUUAGUGCUACAUGGAGCAAGACUCACAACAACCUCAAGAGCUAAGCUGACUCAUCUCUGAAUGAAGUAACAAAUAUUCACCUCAAGAGGAGCGAAAUAGGCUUGAGUGGAGGGACAGUAGAUCAUACUUCAAUCUCCUGCCUUAAUAUUUCUGGGGGUUUAGGAAUGGCGUUUAAAGAGGAACUCAUGGACUCCCUUGAUUCUUUCAUGGAGAAAAUACCCUAAAUAGCCAAAGUAAUGUUGAAAAAGAAAACCAAUCUGGUGGCAUCGCAAUAGCCUCUAAGCUCUAUUACAAAGCUGCAGUCAUCAAGACAAUAUGGUACUAGCACAAAAACAGACACAUAGAUUAAUGGAACAGAAUAGAGAGCCCAGAAAUGGACCCUCAACUCUAUGGUCAACUAAUCUUCAACAAAUCAGGAAAGAAUAUCCAAUAGAAAAAAGACAGUCUCUUCAACAAAUGGUGUUGGGAAAAUUGGACAGCCACACGCAGAAGAAUGAAACUGGACCAUUUCCUUACACCACACACAAAAAUAGACUCCAAAUGGUUGAAAGACCUUAAUGUGAGACAGGAGUCCAUCAAAAUCCUAAAGGAGAACACAGGCAGCAACCUCUAUGACCUCAGCUGCAGCAACUUCUUGCUAGAUCCAUCUCCAAAGGCAAGGGAAACAACGGCAAAAAUGAACUAUUGGGACUUCAUCAAGAUAAAAAGCUUUUGCACAGCAAAGAACACAGUCAACAAAACCAAAAGACAACUGACAGAAUGGGAGAAGAUAUUUGCAAAUGACAUAUCAGAUAAAGGGCUAGUAUCCAAAAUCUAUAAAGAACUCAUGAAACUCAACACCCAAAGAACACAUAAUCCAAUCAAGAAAUGGGCAGAAGACAUGAACAGACAUUUCUGCAAAGAAGACAUCCAAAUGGACAACAGACACAUGAAAAACUGCUCAACAUCACUCGGCAUCAGGGAAAUCCAAAUCAAAACCACAAUGAGAUACCACCUCACACUAUGACAGAUGUUGACAGGAUGUGAAGAAAGGGGAACACUUCAACACUGUUGGUGGGAAUGCAAGCUGGUGCAGCCACUCUGGAAAACAGUAUAGAGGUUCUUCAAAAAGUUGAAAAUAGAGAUACCCUAUGACCCAGCAGUUGCACUACUGGGUAUUUACCCCAAAGAUACAAAUGUAGUGAUCCAAAGGGGCACGUGCACCCCAAUGUUUAUAGCAGCAAUGUCUACAAUAGCCAAACUGUGGAAAGAGCCUAGAUGUCCAUCAACAGAUGAAUGGAUAAAGAAUAAGUGGUAUAUAUAUAUAAUGGAAUAUUACACAGCCAUCAAAAAAAAUGAAAUCUUGCCAUUGCAAUGACAUGGAUGGAAUUAGAGGGUAUUAUGCUAAGUGAAAUAAGUCAAUCAGAGAAAGACAAUUAUCAUAUGAUCUCACUGACAUGAGGAAUUUGAGAAACAAGGCAGAGGAUCAUAGGGGAAGAGAGAAAAAAAUGAAACAAGAAGAAACAAGAGGGAGACAAACCAUAAGAGAAUCUUAAUCUUAGGAAACAAAUUGAGGGUUGCUGGAGGGGAGGGAGGUGGGGGAUGGGGU